UACGUAGGGUGCGAGCGUUAAUCGGAAUACUGGGCGUAAAGCGUGCGCAGGCGGUUUUGUAAGUCUGACGUGAAAUCCCCGGGCUCAACCUGGGAAUUGCGAUGGAGACUGCAAGGCUAGAAUCUGGCAGAGGGGGGUAGAAUUCCACGUGUAGCAGUGAAAUGCGUAGAGAUGUGGAGGAACACCGAUGGCGAAGGCAGCCCCCUGGGUCAAGAUUGACGCUCAUGCACGAAAGGCGUGG
rnacentral:rRNA from 1 species